rnacentral:rRNA from 1 species
UACGUAGGGGGCUAGCGUUGCUCGGAAUCACUGGGCGUAAAGCGCACGUAGGCGGCUUUCUAAGUCAGGGGUGAAAUCCUGGAGCUCAACUCCAGAACUGCCUUUGAUACUGGAGAGCUUGAGUCCGGAAGAGGUGAGUGGAACUCCGAGUGUAGAGGUGAAAUUCGUAGAUAUUCGGAAGAACACCAGUGGCGAAGGCGGCUCACUGGACCGGCAUUGACGCUGAGGUGCGAAAGCGUGGGGAGCAAACAGG